UUACUGAAGUGAGUCUUCAUUCAUUGAAGCUUCUUCCCAUUGUGCUGGCUUUGACCGUAUGUUAUGUUGGGGAUUAAACAUGGUUAGGAAAGAUUUUAUUUUUCUUGGCCGUCCCCAACAAUUAUCUUAUCCUUUAUUAAAAUUGAACUGAACUCAUUUUGAGAUUACAUAAAAAAAUAAUCUUAUAAUACAACUUUCAACAACGGAUCUCUUGGUUCUCGCAUCGAUGAAGAACGCAGCGAAAUGCGAUACGUAAUGUGAAUUGCAGAAUUCAGUGAAUCAUCGAAUCUUUGAACGCACAUUGCACUCUAUGGUAUUCCGUAGAGUAUGCCUGUUUCAGUAUCAUGAACACCUCACUACUACAACUUUAUUGUUUUGUAAUAGUGGACUUGGGAUGCGCUGGUGUCCAAUCAGCCCUUCUAAAAUGGAGUUCUUGCACUGUUGAUUUGUUUUAACAGCAAUGUUGGCCUAAUAAGUUUCGGCAGUAAUGUUGAAAUCACCGGCUUUUUUUGCUUAGAAUCUGACAGUCUUGAUAUACAGAAUUUUGAGGUGACUUUGGUCUCCUCUUUCAAAUUUUGAUCUGAAAUCAGGUAGGAUUACCCGCUGAACUUAA
rnacentral:rRNA from 1 species